rnacentral:rRNA from 1 species
CCUACGGGAGGCAGCAGUGAGGAAUAUUGGUCAAUGGACGAGAGUCUGAACCAGCCAAGUAGCGUGAAGGAUGACUGCCCUAUGGGUUGUAAACUUCUUUUAUCAAGGAAUAAAACGAGGCACGUGUGCCUUUUUGCAUGUACUUUAUGAAUAAGGAUCGGCUAACUCCGUGCCAGCAGCCGCGGUAAUACGGAGGAUCCGAGCGUUAUCCGGAUUUAUUGGGUUUAAGGGGAGCGUAGAUGGGUUGUUAAGUCAGUUGUAAAGUUUGCGGUCCAACCGUAAAAUUGCAAUUGAUACUGGCAGUCUCGAGUAGAGUUGAGGUAGGCGGAAUGCGGGGUGUAGCGGUGAAAUGCUUAGAGAUCACGAAGAACACCGAUUGCGAAGGCAGCAUACUAAACUGAGACUGACAUUGAGGCUCGAAAGUGUGGGUAUCAAACAGGAUUAGAUACCCUGGUAGUC